rnacentral:miRNA from 1 species
GCGGAAGCUGCUGGUGGACCA